AGUGGGAUAGCUGGGUUAAAGGUGGUUUCAUUACCACUUUUCCAAGGAUUCUCCAGACUUCUUUCCAUAUUGGCUGCACCAAUUUGCAGUCCCACCAGCAAU
rnacentral:pre_miRNA from 1 species